CAGUCGCCGCGGUAAUACGUAGGUGGCAAGCGUUGUCCGGAAUUAUUGGGCGUAAAGGGCUCGCAGGCGGUUUCUUAAGUCUGAUGUGAAAGCCCCCGGCUCAACCGGGGAGGGUCAUUGGAAACUGGGAACCUUGAGUGCAGAAGAGGAGAGUGGAAUUCCACGUGUAGCGGUGAAAUGCGUAGAGAUGUGGAGGAACACCAGUGGCGAAGGCGACUCUCUGGUCUGUAACUGACGCUGAGGAGCGAGAGCGUGGGGAGCGAACAGGAUUAGAUACCCCAGUAGUCCCUGUCUCUUAUAC
rnacentral:rRNA from 1 species